GGGGGUAUAAGCUAACUGGCAAACUACUGGUCUCCAAAACCGGUUUUCUAGGUUCAAAUCCUAGUACCCCCG
rnacentral:tRNA from 1 species